UACGUAGGGUGCAAGCGCUGUCCGGAAUUAUUGGGCGUAAAGAGCUCGUAGGCGGUCUGUCACGUCGGCUGUGAAAACCCGAGGCUCAACCUCGGGCCUGCAGUCGAUACGGGCAAACUAGAGUACUGCAGGGGAGACUGGAAUUCCCGGUGUAGCGGUGAAAUGCGCAGAUAUCGGGAAGAACACCCGUGGCGAAGGCGGCUCUCUGGGACGGUACUGACGCUGAGACGCGAAAGCGUGGGGAGCGAACAGG
rnacentral:rRNA from 1 species